UGUGUAGGCGGCCAUAUUAGUCUUUCGUAAAAGCACUCGGGCUUAACCCGGGUAAUGCGGGGGAAACGGUACGGCUUUGAGGACGCGAGAGGUCUGGGGAACUCAUGGUGUAGGGGUGAAAUCCGUUGAUAUCAUGGGGAACACCAAAUGCGAAGGCACCAGACUGGCGCGCUCCUGACGCUGAAACACGAAAGCGUGGGAAUCGAGCG
rnacentral:rRNA from 1 species